GUGUGGACUACCAUUAUGUGAAGAUACUGCCUACUUCGCAGGAGAUGAGCCACGUGUAGAUAUUUGCACACAUAUGUAAUCGAACAAAAACGUUUUUGUUCCGAGUUCUAAAUAUUGACUUUAAACCAUCCCAGAAAAAAAGGUUAUUCUAACAAAGACAUCCUUUCUCCGACAAGAAAACUUUAUUCUUUAUCACCGCACACCAAAAACCCGGCGAACAACAACAACAAAAAAAUAACUUCUUAACGACCACUGUAUUUACAUACAAAUCCGUUAUUUUCAUAAGAACAUCGCAGUUAGCAACGGCAAUAUAAAUGUUAAUUCGCGGCCUAUUCAAGAGACAGAAUUAACGACUUCUCCACCACAGUUUACGUCCCGAGCUUUCAAAAAGCUCCCGGUAAAAAAGAGAAAACGGCUGUAAGAAAAAGGGACCGUAAAACGAAAAACCCGGCGAAUUUCGUAAUUGGAGUCCCCGUUUUUGUUCCAACGAUCUUUUCGGUUGAGACGAGUUUUCGCAAAUUAAAAUUAUUCUCGGAAAACGGAGGCGAAGGGCGUGUAAUGCGUUAAUCAAAACGAUCCCCUUCGUCGACGAAGCAAACUCCAAAAGAUACUCGAAAAACGAGCGAACUUACUAAUUGGCGACGAUGUUUUGUCGGAAAACAUACUGAUCCGGGGGAGAGGAAAAUUUCAUUAAAUCCGUGAUCUAUUUGAUCUGAUAUACGCGGUUUUCAAAGUUGCAUUUAUGCGUAUAAAUGAAUGCUUAAUUGAAUUACUCAAUCACAAACGUGUCGCUGUUUAACGGAGAUUAACGAGUUAAAAAAAAUCUAAGAGGGCAUUGAGAGAAAGGAAUUAACCGGUUACGGUCGAUUAGGAAACCACUUUUCACUUUUGCAAAUUUAAUACAUAGUGAAUAUUUUCAAAUUAGUUUAACACUUACUUUUUUUUAUCAAUCAAUUGAACAAACUGUUCAAUCAACAUCAUAAUUUGAUGAAAUCUGUUUAAAAUGCUGGUGAACAACAUUAAAAUUCCAAUUUAAUAACUACUUUAGAAAUCUAUUACUAUAGAUAGUUGUUGAAUUGUAUUUUUUACUAGAUCUUCAGAUCGAUAAAUCCAGUUCAAACUUGGUAUCGAGGAGUAAUGGGCCAUGGUCCAUUAAUUUCCAGUAUUACUUAUUACGUGUGAUGAUAGUGUUAAAUUAUAGUACCACAUCUUUAAAAAUUCCCAAUGUUAAACAAUACAUGCCAAGAAGUGUAGCUUCUUUAGCUAGAAGCUUUAGUUAGAAAGAUUGAUUUGCAUUGGAAAUACGCAAGAAACUAACUUCUUUUCUUAGGAAAAAAAGUUUACAUCUUAUUACAGGUUAUAUCACAUCGCUGAUGAAGACCAUUAAUUUCAACCCAACCUAAACACCAACGCUCAUUUUUGACAAAAUCUUCUCCAAAGAGGAUGUUUUAGAAAGGAAUAAGAUCAGUAAAUAAGGAAAAUUUUACCCUCAAAAAGAGUAUUGUUUUAGAAGACAUCAAUGGAAAAGAGGUGAUUCAUUCUCUUGAAUAAAUGUGCAAUAAUAUCUUAACCAGCGUACGUCAGCUUUAUGAAACUGCAAUUGUGCUAGACUCAAAAAAAUGCAGCAGGGCAACGUUUAUUUUAUCAUCUCCAAGUGUGCUUCAAUGUUAUGUUCAGAGUGUCUAAAAGAACUUUUCUAUGUUUAUGCUGACGAUGAAGUAAUCGAUGCUGAACUUCGAAGAACAAAUCACUGUUACCCAGCAUAGACAUGGCAAGAUAUUUAACGAGUAAUGCAGAGAUUUUGGUGAAAAGAGAAUAAAAGUUUGUGUUUAGGGCUUUAAAAAUGUGAGAUUUAAUGCACAAUAAUAAAGCAGAAACUUAGAGGUUGCUACAGAACCACCUAGAUGUUAUAGUUAUGUAACUCAAAGAUUAACUGGAAAAACGCCAAAAGAACCAAAUUACACUCCCAUCAUGGGUUCAUCUUCUAAAACAGAAACAAAGUUAACAUAACUGACGACAUCAUUCGAUUCAAUUCUCAAUUAAAGCGCUAGAUUUAGAGCAACUAGUCAAAAAGCUCGCAUUACUCCUAAACGACCGAUGUACAUCGUGAACUAUCGCAUGACUUGAGGAACUGCAAUGUUAAUGGUCUAACAGGUUUUGGAACCAAAGUUUCUUGACAGAAUGGUUACGAAGAGCCAAGUUUAGAACAAAGAAUUAACAGAGAAGAAUUCAUAUUUAAGCAGAACUUCAUUGAAAUGCAGGAAAAUCAUGAUGAAAAUGUAUUUCAUGAACUAUAUCCGACCAACAUGCAUAACAAAGAAGAUUGCAUGAGUUGAACAUUUGCGAUGAUGAGAAUUUUUAGAAACAAAGUUGGGUAUUUCUUACCGAAACGGUUACGAAGCACUAAAUAUGCUACGAAGCACUAAAUAUGCCUUCCACGUGUAUUAACUCAUAUUACACAUAUAAUUAAUACGAAAUAAUAGGGAACCCAGUGUAAUGAUUCCAAUGAUCUCAUAAUUAUCUGAAAGUUAUCAUAUUUCAUUUUUUUCUUUACAUCAACUUCCAACAGAUAAAUUUUUAAAGCUAAAUUUCUUUCUAGCUGUACUUCGUGGCGAGUCAUUCGGAGAGAGCCACUGCCCUUUGCGUUUUGGAUUAUCAUAUAGGACCCAUUUUUCAUCUGCAGUGAUCAUGCGAUUAAAAAAUCCGGAUUUUCAGUCCGGAAAAAUACGGAUCGGUUAACUUUGUUUUCGUCGGACCAAUCUGAUAUAAAUAUUCUUGGAUGAUAAACCAAGGUUGGUUAAGAGUAUUUGUAGUUCCUCGAUCGUCUGACACGGAUUUGCUUCCACUUUCGUCCUUAACAGGUCAAAAUUACCGGGUUUGAACUUAGAAAACCACCUUUGGUAGCAAUUGUUGCAGUAUUACCCUUGCAAAACUCAAAAAGCAUACAAUGCCGAAUAUGUACCACUUCUGGUAUUUGACUGGUCAUUUCACCAUAAAUUCCCAAAAAGAAAAAUAAGAAUUAUUUGCGAGUAAACAAGUCACUCUAAUCUUAAAAUAUCUUUAACUCGAUUUUGUAGUACACAAUGAGAUGAUAGAUGGCAAUCGAAUAUCGACAUGCACAGAAACGACAUUACUUUCCGGUCCUCUAAUAUGAUCGUCAUCGAAGGUGUUGUAGACCACGACGUUUUUGGGAUUCGCUGAUACAUUAUUUAGAGCUUUGGUUGCAAAAGUUGGACUCAAUCCAUAACAUUUUUAAAAUUGGAUUCAUUACAAUAUAUAUACUAAGUGCUGUGAAAAUCUCAAUGCCAAGAGAGUGGCACAAGUGAUAAUUGGUUUAAUAAUGGUUAGAUUUUGUUUGGUUAAUAAUUGUUGAAGCUUUCCCGAUUCUGUUUGGAGCUGCACGGAAUACUGAAUUAUUUAUUGUGACGCAUGUGCGCCAAACUGUAGGGAUUAUAGUAUAGGGUGUUGUGACUUAUUGGACCCGACCUUCAAGUAUGUAACCUAUCGAACAUAUUUGGGACAUUAUGCAGGAGACUGAGAAACUUGUUGCAUCUUCCGCAUAUGGUGCAAAUUACUGCAUGAAGGUUGCAAAGGACAUAAUACCUCACGAGAAAAUCGACCAAUUGCUAAAAUCAAUACCACGAAGAGUGGGGGAGUAUGUAACCAACCCAUAAUUAAUAAAAAUUAAGUUUGCAUUUUGUACUUCGUAGUUAAACGGUUCUGCCAAGUUUGAUCAAAAAUAUAUUUCUACAUUUAGGA